AGAAUCAACGCUGGCGGCGUGCCUAACACAUGCAAGUCGAGCGCGAAAGCCCCGCAAGGGGCAAGUAGAGUGGCAAACGGGUGAGUAACACGUGGGUGACCUGCCUUCGAGCGGGGGAUAACGUCCCGAAAGGGACGCUAAUACCGCAUAACAUCCUGCCUUUGAGGAGGUGGAGAUCAAAGCUGGGGAUCGCAAGACCCGGCACUUGAAGAGGGGCCCGCGCCUGAUUAGCUAGUUGGUGGGUAAUGGCCUACCAAGGCAACGAUCAGUA
rnacentral:rRNA from 1 species